rnacentral:tRNA from 1 species
UUAAUUGAAACCAAAAAGAGGUAUAUCACUGUUAAUGAUAGAAAUGAGAUAAUCUCCAAUUAAA